rnacentral:rRNA from 1 species
UGACGGUACUUGUGUUUACCACGGCUAAUUCCGUGCCCACCGCGGUAUACGGGAGUGGCAGCGUUUCCGGAAUUAUUGGGCGUAAAGCGUCCGCAGGCGGCCCAGCAAGUCUGUAGUUAAAAAGUGGAGCUUAACUCCAUCCAGGCAAUGGAAACUGCUGGGCUAAGUGGGAAGGGCAAGGGAAUUCCCGGUGUAGCGGUGAAAUGCGUAAUAUCGGAAGAACACCAGUGGCGAAGGCGCUCUGCUGGGCCAUAACUGACGCUCAUGGACGAAAGCCAGGGGAGCGAAAGGGAUUAGAUACCCCUGUAUCCUGGCCGUAAACAUGAACACUAGUGUCGGGGGAAUCGACCCCCUCGGUGUCUACCAACGCUUAAGUGUUCCGCCUGGGAGUACACACGCAAGUGUG